CCAUGCAGUCGAGCGGUAGCACAGAGAGCUUGCUCUCGGGUGACGAGCGGCGGACGGGUGAGUAAUGUCUGGGAAACUGCCUGAUGGAGGGGGAUAACUACUGGAAACGGUAGCUAAUACCGCAUAAUGUCGCAAGACCAAAGUGGGGGACCUUCGGGCCUCAUGCCAUCAGAUGUGCCCAGAUGGGAUUAGCUAGUAGGUGGGGUAACGGCUCACCUAGGCGACGAUCCCUAGCUGGUCUGAGAGGAUGACCAGCCACACUGGAACUGAGACACGGUCCAGACUCCUACGGGAGGCAGCAGUGGGGAAUAUUGCACAAUGGGCGCAAGCCUGAUGCAGCCAUGCCGCGUGUGUGAAGAAGGCCUUCGGGUUGUAAAGCACUUUCAGCGGGGAGGAAGGCGUUGAGGUUAAUAACCUUGUCGAUUGACGUUACCCGCAGAAGAAGCACCGGCUAACUCCGUGCCAGCAGCCGCGGUAAUACGGAGGGUGCAAGCGUUAAUCGGAAUUACUGGGCGUAAAGCGCACGCAGGCGGUCUGUCAAGUCGGAUGUGAAAUCCCCGGGCUCAACCUGGGAACUGCAUUCGAAACUGGCAGGCUAGAGUCUUGUAGAGGGGGGUAGAAUUCCAGGUGUAGCGGUGAAAUGCGUAGAGAUCUGGAGGAAUACCGGUGGCGAAGGCGGCCCCCUGGACAAAGACUGACGCUCAGGUGCGAAAGCGUGGGGAGCAAACAGGAUUAGAUACCCUGGUAGUCCACGCCGUAAACGAUGUCGAUUUGGAGGUUGUGCCCUUGAGGCGUGGCUUCCGGAGCUAACGCGUUAAAUCGACCGCCUGGGGAGUACGGCCGCAAGGUUAAAACUCAAAUGAAUUGACGGGGGCCCGCACAAGCGGUGGAGCAUGUGGUUUAAUUCGAUGCAACGCGAAGAACCUUACCUGGUCUUGACAUCCACAGAACUUUCCAGAGAUGGAUUGGUGCCUUCGGGAACUGUGAGACAGGUGCUGCAUGGCUGUCGUCAGCUCGUGUUGUGAAAUGUUGGGUUAAGUCCCGCAACGAGCGCAACCCUUAUCCUUUGUUGCCAGCGGUUCGGCCGGGAACUCAAAGGAGACUGCCAGUGAUAAACUGGAGGAAGGUGGGGAUGACGUCAAGUCAUCAUGGCCCUUACGACCAGGGCUACACACGUGCUACAAUGGCAUAUACAAAGAGAAGCGACCUCGCGAGAGCAAGCGGACCUCAUAAAGUAUGUCGUAGUCCGGAUUGGAGUCUGCAACUCGACUCCAUGAAGUCGGAAUCGCUAGUAAUCGUAGAUCAGAAUGCUACGGUGAAUACGUUCCCGGGCCUUGUACACACCGCCCGUCACACCAUGGGAGUGGGUUGCAAAAGAAGUAGGUAGCUUAACCUUCGGGAGGGCGCUA
rnacentral:rRNA from 1 species